UAACAGUGAUGACAGAAGAGUUAUUUGCUAGCUGAGAGUUUCAUGCUGACAGCAGCUUACCACCAAGAUCUCUGAGUUA
rfam:Asian citrus Psyllid, Diaphorina citri - Florida Strain, whole genome shotgun sequence.